rnacentral:rRNA from 2 species
UACGGAGGGUGCAAGCGUUAUCCGGAUUUACUGGGUUUAAAGGGUGCGUAGGUGGGUUUGUAAGUCAGUGGUGAAAUCUCCGAGCUUAACUCGGAAACUGCCAUUGAUACUAUAGAUCUUGAAUUAUCUGGAGGUAAGCGGAAUAUGUCAUGUAGCGGUGAAAUGCUUAGAUAUGACAUAGAACACCAAUUGCGAAGGCAGCUUACUACGGAUAUAUUGACACUGAGGCACGAAAGCGUGGGGAUCAAACAGG